rnacentral:rRNA from 1 species
AUGACUCCUAUACAAAGCGCCACAAGUAGGAAGUCGAGAGCCCUACCCUCGCCGGCCUGGCGCCAUCUACACAGGCCACACCGGCAGGACGAGGAAGAGGCCGAAGAGAUCCCUUUAUUCCGCUUCGUCCUAGCCUACCUACCACCAUCAGGACCCCAAAACCUAGAUCGUAGAGACCUAAAACAUACCUUUGUGGACAGAUCCGUGUUCCCAUCAGCAAGCCGACACCUAAUCAGCCACCGGAGGCGAAGGGGAUCGGUGGAAUCGCCGCCGAAGGACACCACGCUCCUCCGCGCUGCGGCCGCUCGCCGCCGAGACCUCCCGCCGCUACCGCCUGCAAUUAGAAACGCCACGAACCCACGACUAAAAGAAUAA